GCCGCUCCGGUAAUAACAGCACCCUUGCUUCUGAUCUCCAGGAGAUAAUUCAAUGCUUCCGCUGUGAUGAUCUCACCAGGAAUUAGAACUGGAAUACCAGGUGGAUAAGGACAUACAAGCUCUCCACAUAUUUCACCGAGGCUAUCUCUUAUGCUGACUUUACGUUUUGUAGCAAAGAAGGCCUCUCUAGGACUCAUUCUUAUUCUAAUAUCAUCAAGGCAUACAAAAUGAU
rnacentral:misc_RNA from 1 species